rnacentral:lncRNA from 1 species
GGGAAAAUCCGGAAAGAACUUUUGACUUGGUAUUAAAAGUGAAAUGUCAUGUCUCUGAAAAUGAAGAUCCGGUGGUAUUGUGGAAAUUCCCAGAGGACUUUGGAGACCAGGUUGGAACCACAUACUUUUUAAUGAAUUUAAAAUUGGACUAUUAUGAUCACUACUACUCUUACUACUUUUUCUUCUACUACAACACAUUAAUAGUGAUUAUUAUUUUCUCUGGAUC